rnacentral:rRNA from 1 species
UCAAUAAGCGGAGGAAAAGAAACUAACAAGGAUUCCCCUAGUAACGGCGAGUGAAGAGGGAAGAGCCCAAGAUUGAAAGCUGGCGUCUUCGGCGUCCGCAUUGUAAUCUCAAGAAGUGUUUUCCGCUUCGGACCAAGCCUAAGUCCCUUGGAAAAGGGCAUCAUAGAGGGUGAUAAUCCCGUACAUGGCUUGGAGCGCCCGAAGCUUUGUGAUACGCUUUCUAAGAGUCGAGUUGUUUGGGAAUGCAGCUCAAAAUGGGUGGUAAAUGCCAUCUAAGGCUAAAUAUUGGGGAGAGACCGAUAGCGAACAAGUACAGUGAUGGAAAGAUGAAAAGAACUUUGAAAAGAGAGUUAAACAGUACGUGAAAUUGCCAAAAGGGAAGGGUAGGAGGUCAGAGAUGCGGCCUGGGAUUCAGCCUUGCUUUUGCUUGGUGUUUUUCCCAGAUUGCAGGCCAACGUCGGUUUUGGGCACUGGAGAAGGGUAGGAGGAACGUGGCACCUCUCGGGGUGUGUUAUAGCCUCCUACUGGAUACAGCGACCGAGACCGAGGACAGCAGCGUACUCGCAAGAGCGGGCCUUCGGGCACCUUUACGCUUAGGGCGUUGGCAUAAUGGCCCUCUACCACCCGUCUUGAAACACGGA